GACUACAGUUAGCAGUUGUCCUGUGGACAGAUUCUCCCACCUGAGCUGCGGAUCUCUGCAGAUGCUCCAGAGUAACCAUGGCUGCUUCUCUGAUCAACGCUCUCCUCGUUGGCAGCUAACUUCUGAAGAGUAUUAGCUCUACCAGAUUUCAUCAAGAGGUCAGGACACGGCGCGUUGCUCUUUGAGAUCCUCAGCCUACUUCGUGUUGUCAGACAGGUCCUGGUUACCAGAUAUCCUCACACCAAGGCGAGAUGCGUUUACAACGAGGGACGAGGCUGCAGCCCGUCUGUCUGCUGUGGGACGGCUAGGAGAAGAUGAGGAGACGCUCACAGCAGAAACCGCCGCUCUGAGACAGGAACUCCACAACUAUUGUUACUUUCACGGGAAGUCACCGAUAAAAGAAGAAAGCAGAUCGAUCCUGUAUCGUUCCUGUACCAUGAGCGAGAGCAUGCUGUGCUCAUUUUAUAGUAAAGUGAGGACCUUUUUUGGUCCUGGUUAGUUUUUCUGGACUAGAAGUCAGGUUUAGGACUAAGGUGUCAGUUUAGGGUCCGGUCCUCACUCUGUAUUUAAAAGAAGGAUGUGUGUGU